CUGGUUAUUCUGACAAACGACCAGUCAUAUUUGAUUUAAAUAUGCAUCACAGGAGGCUGCUGAGAGGAGGAUGGCUCAUAAUAAUGGUCAGAGUGAAUGUAAUGGCAUCAAACACAUGGAAACGUGUUUGAUACCAUACCAGUCAUGAACACGAGCCUGUUCUCCCCAAUUAAGGUGCCAUUAUCCAUACCAGUCAUGAACACAAGCCUGUUCUCCCCAAUUAAGGUGCCAUUAUCCAUACCAGUCAUGAACACGAGCCUGUCCUCCCUAAUUAAGGUGCCACCAAUCUCCUCUGAUAUGUCUCCACCUACCUUGAAGGGGUAAGCGGGUAGAUUCUAAAGUCUAGAUCAUGGGUUCUCAAACUCAGUCCUGGGGCCCCCCAGGUGCACACUAGAUCAUGGGUUCUCAAACUCAGUCCUGGGGCCCCCCCGAGGUGCACACUAGAUCAUGGGUUCUCAAACUCAGUCCUGGGGCCCCCCGAGGUGCACACUAGAUCAUGGGUUCUCAAACUCAGUCCUGGGGCCCCCCCAGGUGCACACUAGAUCAUGGGUUCUCAAACUCAGUCCUGGGGCCCCCCGAGGUGCACACUAGAUCAUGGGUUCUCAAACUCAGUCCUGGGGCCCCCCGAGGUGCACACUAGAUCAUGGGUUCUCAAACUCAGUCCUGGGGCCCCCCGAGGUGCACACUAGAUCAUGGGUUCUCAAACUCAGUCCUGGGGCCCCCCGAGGUGCACACUAGAUCAUGGGUUCUCAAACUCAGUCCUGGGGCCCCCCGAGGUGCACACUAGAUCAUGGGUUCUCAAACUCAGUCCUGGGGCCCCCCGAGGUGCACACUAGAUCAUGGGUUCUCAAACUCAGUCCUGG